UACGUAGGGUGCGAGCGUUAAUCGGAAUUACUGGGCGUAAAGUGUGCGCAGGCGGCGUCGCAAGUCGAGUGUGAAAGCCCCGAGCUUAACUUGGGAACUGCGCUCGAAACUACUUGGCUAGAGUGUGGCAGAGGGAGGUGGAAUUCCACGUGUAGCGGUGAAAUGCGUAGAGAUGUGGAGGAACACCGAUGGCGAAGGCAGCCUCCUGGGCCAACACUGACGCUCAUGCACGAAAGCGUGGGGAGCAAACAGG
rnacentral:rRNA from 1 species